GACGAACGCUGGCGGCGUGCUUAACACAUGCAAGUCGAGCGGUAAAGCCCUUUCGGGGGUACACGAGCGGCGAACGGGUGAGUAACACGUGGGUGACCUGCCCUCAGCUCUGGGAUAAGCCUGGGAAACCGGGUCUAAUACCGGAUAUGACUCCAUGACGCAUGUUGUGGGGUGGAAAGCCUUGUGCGGCUGAGGAUGGGCCCGCGGCCUAUCAGCUUGUUGGUGGGGUGAUGGCCUACCAAGGCGACGACGGGUAGCCGGCCUGAGAGGGCGACCGGCCACACUGGGACUGAGACACGGCCCAGACUCCUACGGGAGGCAGCAGUGGGGAAUCUUGCGCAAUGGGCGAAAGCCUGACGCAGCGACGCCGCGUGAGGGAUGACGGCCU
rnacentral:rRNA from 1 species